rnacentral:rRNA from 1 species
UACGUAGGCAGCGAGGCGUUGUUCGGAGUUACUGGGCGUAAAGCGUGCGUAGGCGGUUGUCUAAGUUUGGUGUGAAAUCUCCCGGCUUAACUGGGAGGGUGCGCCGAAAACUGGGAUGACUGGAGUGUCGGAGAGGUAAGCGGAAUUCCUGGUGUAGCGGUGAAAUGCGUAGAGAUCAGGAGGAACACCUGUGGUGUAGACAGCUUACUGGACGAUAACUGACGCUGAGGCACGAAGCGUGGGUAGCAAACAGG